rnacentral:rRNA from 1 species
UGGGGAAUAUUGCACAAUGGGCGCAAGCCUGAUGCAGCCAUGCCGCGUGUAUGAAGAAGGCCUUCGGGUUGUAAAGUACUUUCAGCGGGGAGGAAGGGAGUAAAGUUAAUACCUUUGCUCAUUGACGUUACCCGCAGAAGAAGCACCGGCUAACUCCGUGCCAGCAGCCGCGGUAAUACGGAGGGUGCAAGCGUUAAUCGGAAUUACUGGGCGUAAAGCGCACGCAGGCGGUUUGUUAAGUCAGAUGUGAAAUCCCCGGGCUCAACCUGGGAACUGCAUCUGAUACUGGCAAGCUGGAGUCUCGUAGAGGGGGGUAGAAUUCCAGGUGUAGCGGUGAAAUGCGUAGAGAUCUGGAGGAAUACCGGUGGCGAAGGCGGCCCCCUGGACGAAGACUGACGCUCAGGUGCGAAAGCGUGGGGAGCAAACAGG